AUGAGAACUUGCCCUUCGGGGUAGAUCUCCCACCCUCUGUUUACAUACUUUGUUGCUUUGGCGGGCCGCUUCGGCUACCGGCUUCGGCUGGUGAGUGCCUGCCAGAGGACCACAACUCUGUAUUAAAUGUCGUCUGAGUACUAUAUAAUAGUUA
rnacentral:misc_RNA from 1 species